rnacentral:misc_RNA from 1 species
AAACUUGACCUGCGUCAGUGCUCCGGGCCUCCCCGGAAAGCGCCUUGUCGUCCAUUGAUCCAGGUCAAUUUGCACCGCCAGGCCGCCGGUAAUCUGCACACAUCCCCAGACGAUGUAGGCAACAGGAGGCCAGCAUCAUGUUCAUCGACGAAGUGGUUCUCGCAGGCAUCCUUACCGUCGGACUGAUGGUUGUUUUCUUCGGCGGGGUUGGAAUUUUCAUCUGGAAGGACAGCCACAAGAAGAGCUGAUCCUUACAGAUUCACAGAGCACGCAAGGCACUUCGGGCGACUUAGGUCGCCCGUU